GUCAGUCCAGCCCAGAGCUUGACAUAAACGCAUUUAUUAAAUUAUUAAUAAACUAUUUAUGAACCGACUGUUUCUGUCUUUAUAACCUUGUCGAUAAACGGUUAAAAUAUUUCUGUCGGCAUGAAUCUUGGAGAUGGUCUGCUGUUUGAACUUGAAAAUGGAAAACCCAAGUUGAUUUUACUUCGUCAUGGCGCUGAGAAAAAUCCAGCAAAGCAGCUGUCAUUCAGGUCCAGAGCGGCUAACGUCCUGAGCUCCAGGCAGCCAUCCUGUGUGGAGGAGGCGCAGGGAGACGAGCGUCCCGCCAGGCAGCAGGCGGGGAGGCACAGAGAAACCAAAAGCAAGGCAGGAGGAGCAGCAGCCUCCUUCACCUCCAAAACCACCACCCUCGGGGGGAGGAGCACCACUCUCGCAUCAUCCAAGACGCACGAGCGUCACAAAGGGGGCAGUGAAAAAGUUGCGGCCAAGGUGAAGUCAGACAGACACAAACACAGCACCACUGUCGGCUCCCUGAGAGCCAAUAGUAAAACAGCACAGCCUCAGAACGGCGGGACACGGGCCGGUGGACCGGUGGGACUUAAAGACUCGCAGGCCGGUGCUGACGCAGGACUGAAGGGCAGCGUCGUGUGUCUGACCAACGAGCAGCUACAGCAGAUCCUCCACAGAGUCCAGACCUCGAACAAUGGCCAACACCCAGCAGAGGAUCCCAGGACCCAGGGUAGUGCUAGUGAUGGAAGUCUUAAAGGGACAGUUCACCCCAAAAUCAAAAGAAGUCAAACAGACUCAAAAUCUGUCUCCUUAGUGAAAGGAGGAGGAGGAGGAGGAGGAGGAGACAUGAAGGAGGAAGAUAGAGGAGGAGGAGCAGGAGCUGGAAGCUCACAGGAUAAAGACAACAGGUUGUCUGGAUGUCCGUUCAGCUGGCUGGAGGAGCGACAGUCACUCAGCAGAGCGGCCAUCGACGCCAAGAAGGCUCAGUGGAGGAGAGAACUAGAUGAGCAAGUGGCACUGAAGCAGCAGCAGAGUUCGGCUCCUGGCAGGCUCCAGGCAGAGGAGGACACAGAAAGUGUGUAUUCACUUCAGAGCUCCGUCAGCCACAGAGAUCAGCCUGCAGCCGUCAGGUCCAGCCUCAGACUCGGGGAGUUCACCCCGAUGGAGGAGGUGCCGAGUGUCCAGAGGAGAGAGGAGCAGAGGAGACGCUGGCUGGAGGAGCUCGACCGACAGAGAGAGGAGGCGAGCGAACGCAGGAGGCGAGAGAAGGUGCUGCAGAGCCAGACGGAGGACCACGAGCUCUGGGCCACACACUUUGACUCUCUGCACAGGCGGCCUCCCGUCCAGCCUGCAGCUCCCUCAGCUCCACCUCCGGCCCCGUCCAGUGUCUCUGAGCGGGGGGAGUGGGAGCCCUCGUCCAGCCUGUCUCUGGUCUGGGACGCCACGAGCAGCUGUGGAGCAGAGAGCGUGUUGGGAGCCAGCAUAGAUACAACCAGCGGAUACCCGACCAGAGCCAGCCAUCUGAGGACCAUGACCGCCCUGCUGGACCCCGCCCAGAUAGAAGAGAGAGAGAGGAGGAGGCUCAAACAGCUGGAGCAGCAGCGAGCGAUCGAGGCCCAGGUGGAGGAGCGUCGUCGGCAGAAGGAGCGAGAGCAGGCGAGGAGGAGGGAGGAGGAGGAGGAGGAAGAGAGGAGGGUGGCGCAGGAGAGGGAGAUGCUGGACAGACAGUACGAGCUGGACACACUGAGGGAGAAGCAGAAGGCAAAGAAAGGCGACGACGACAGGAGAAAGCAGGAGAUGCAGGAAGCCAGCGUUACCGGGCAGAGCGAGUGUUUGGAUGAGAAGCUCCGCAGUUUGGCCUCCCCAUGCAAAGACACUGCUGUACAGACAGAAGCAGCUCCAUCUCUCAGAGUUCAGACUCCUGACGUCGCUGCACAGUACCAGCCGCCUCCUCUGGCUGCUGCUCCUCCGAACACCAAGAACAGAGCGAUGAGAACCGGCAAGGAGAACAUCUGUCUGCCAGGAGGAGGAGGAGGAGGAGGAGGAGGAGGAGGAGGAGGAGGAGGAGGAGGAGGAGGAGGAGACGGAGACCUGUAUGAGGCGUUUGCCAGGACAGACCGGAGCAGGACAGACAAGAGGAGGCCGGAGUGGAACACACAGAGGCCCAGCCGUCAAUUCGUUCCGGCCUCGGAGCGUUACCCAGCCGCUCUGCAGAGGAACAGGCAGGAGAGUCGACAGAGGAGGCAGGUCGAGCUCCUCGCGCUGCAGGAGAGGACCUGUCUGUCCAGGACCGACCCUCCUCUUCCUCCUCAGCACCCGGAGCCUCGUCUCUGCUCCACACAGACCAGAACCAGUCCCAGCAGGAAGGUGGAGAGUGUUUCCAGAGGAAACGGCCUCUCUGCAGCCGUCGGCACUGAAAGGGGGCGCUCUCCUCCCGUCCCUGCUGUCAGACCCAGAGUCCAGAGUCAGCAGGCACCACCUUCCUCCACCACCAUCUCUCCUCCUCCUCCUCCUCCUCCCGCUCUGGAGUUCAUCCCUUACGUCCGGACUGAUGAAGUCUUCAACCUGGAUCCACUGGAGCCUGCUGACACCCCCCCCACCUCACACACACACAGCAGCUCCUCAGAGCUCAGCGUCUCCUCCUGCUCCAUCACAUCGACUGCUCCACCCUGAACUGCUGCGUAACACACACACACACCGACAGCAGGAGAUCCUCAGAGGCCUGGCCCAGCUACGGCAGGGUUUAUUGCAGAAGCAGAGGGAGUUGGAGACGGAUCUGAAUCCUCUCCUGAAGCGCCAUGACCACGAGCCGCCCUCGUCGACGCACCGCAUGUGACCUCUGACCUCCGGCUCCGUGUGGUUUGAACCCGCAUGGAGCAGCAGCGCGUCCAACACUCGGAGUUUUCAAAGUUAAGCUGAUGAAGACGACUCUCCUCCAAUGAAAGAAGCAGCACGAGCUCCAGAAGCUGCUAAAUCCAGCGAGAAAUUCGAGCAGUUGCCUCCAGACCUCCGUCCAAAGCCGCUCCCCCGUUAUGAAUGUAAACAACAAGCUGCUGUCAGUAUCACAGCUGUCACGGGAGCAGCUUGUGGACGACUCCGGUGAUGCGCAGGCAGGCAGGCCUGGUUUUCCUAAAAACACACGUCCCACCGGAGCUUUAGGAGCAGGUGGGAAAAAGGUUUUGCGAGGAUAAUCUUCCUAAAGGACUGCGAGUGCAUCUUCAGACUGAAGUGUCCCUUCGACACAGACCUUGGCUGUAGAAGAGUCGGGACAGCGUUGAGUCCACAGUUGGUUUGAAUCCGCUGCCAUGCGAGCCGGUGUGUGUGAACACUGCACAGUACGACUACAGCCUUCAGAUGCACACACACAGUGAAGACAUUAAAGUAGCGUUUGCUUGUUCAGUCUGAACACACCUGAUGUCUGAUGUUGUGAGUUUCAGGUUCAACACUAAGUUCAGUGUUUUCUUCAGUUCUACCUCAAGACAAACAUGUUCAUACGUUUCUGCACCAGGAGACCCAAAAAGUCAAACAUGUUUUCUCACUCAUGGAAUUUAUUUGGGACUUUAAUGACAUUUUAUGUGAAGAUUGUAUUUUAAUUCAGUUUUUAAUGCACUUUGCAUACGAACAACAAACGUGUCCUGCAGGUCUGUUUCUUCAGCUUCCUGCUGGCCGAGGAGCUUUAUGUUUCUUUAUGCCUCUGUAUCGUGGAAUUAUUGUGUUUCAUAUUUAUUGUAAAUGUAAUAAAGUAAUGUAAAGUGUACCGAGAGCUUUUACAUUUC